rnacentral:lncRNA from 1 species
CGGGCGGCCGCCGCCGCCUCCUCGCGAGCGCCGCGCGCCCAGGUCCCGCUCGCAUGCAAGUCACGUCCGCCCCCUCGGCGCGGCCGCCCCGAGACGCCGGCCCCGCUGAGUGAUGAGAACAGACGUCAAACUGCCUUAUGAAUAUUGAUGCGGAGGCUAGGCUGCUUUCGUAGAGAAGCAGAAGGAAGCAAGAUGGCUGCCCUUUAGGAUUUGUUAGAAAGGAGACCCGACUGCAACUGCUGGAUUGCUGCAAGGCUGAGGGACGAGAACGAGGCUGGCAAACAUUCAGCAGCACACCCUCUCAAGAUUGUUUACUUGCCUUUGCUCCUGUUGAGUUACAACGCUUGGAAGCAGGAGAUGGGCUCAGCAGCAGCCAAUAGGACAUGAUCCAGGAAGAGCAGUAAGGGACUGAGCUGCUGAAUUCAACUAGAGGGCAGCCUUGUGGAUGGCCCCGAAGCAAGCCUGAUGGAACAGGAUAGAACCAACCAUGUUGAGGGCAACAGACUAAGUCCAUUCCUGAUACCAUCACCUCCCAUUUGCCAGACAGAACCUCUGGCUACAAAGCUCCAGAAUGGAAGCCCACUGCCUGAGAGAGCUCAUCCAGAAGUAAAUGGAGACACCAAGUGGCAGUCUUUCAAAAGUUAUUAUGGAAUACCCUGUAUGAAGGGAAACCAGAAUAGUCGUGUGAGUCCUGACUUUACACAAGAAAGUAGAGGGUAUUCCAAGUGUUUGCAAAAUGGAGGAAUAAAACGCACAGUUAGUGAACCUUCUCUCUCUG